UACAGAGGUCUCGAGCGUUAGGCGGAAUCACUGGGCUUAAAGCGUGUGUAGGCGGAUCGUUAAGUGCCUUGUGAAAUCCCACGGCUCAACCGUGGAACUGCUUGGCAUACUGGCGGUCUUGAGCAACCUAGGGGCGAGCGGAACAAAUGGUGGAGCGGUGAAAUGCGUAGAUAUCAGGAAGAACACCUAUGGCGAAGGCAGCUCUCUGGGACGGUACUGACGCUGAGACGCGAAAGCGUGGGGAGCGAACAGG
rnacentral:rRNA from 1 species